UGUUCUUGGAGACCAACACUGACAGUUAUGCUUCCAUCCCUUCUAAAGAUUUUGAAAGAGCUCAGUGCUCUGUUUCAAAUACUGCUGCAAGUAUCUAGUGCUGUCUCUAUUACCUGCAGCUCUUUCUUGAUCAGGUAAACUCCCAACCUCACUCAUCACAAGUGUUCUCUUGUUCAAAAGAUGAAAAUAACCAAAACUCUGGAAUAGAACCUCACAAGUCACAUAGGGGAAGGCCCAAGCUUUGUGGGAAUAGUGUAAGGAUAAUCACACUCUGGAGAUCCAAAGGCAUUUCCAGUCAUACCUGCAUCUCCUCCAUUCUGGCAGGGAGCAUAGUUCCCUGGAGCCCCCAGGCCUAAGAAAAUGAUGGUCAUCCUUCCCAGAGGCAAAGUGCCACGCCGCAGGCAGGAAGAAGUCUACAAGGAGAUUCUGAGCCUGAUCCACUGGUGAUCCAAGGUCAGAGCAAUCUAGUAGCAAAAUUUCUCUGACGCUGAGUCAGUGGAAAGACUACUAGCCCUUGUCCAUGAAUGAGGACUGACCAGACUGCUCAUCCAGGCAUAGGUCAAGAAGCUCUAUCUUCAGGAGUGUAGCAUCUGACACCUGACUCCACCCCUCCCCCCAAAUAAAAAGGCCAGAACCAUGUGAAUGUGAAGUAA